rnacentral:pre_miRNA from 1 species
UUCUUACUUGCGGUGUACAUGUUUUGGUAUGAAUAGUAAAUAUGUACAACCGUGAGUGGAGACU